CUCAAGAAAGCUGUGGGAA
rnacentral:siRNA from 1 species